AGGUGUGGAUAGCGGAGAAAUUCCAAUCGAACCCGGAGAUAGCUGGUUCUCCUCGAAAUAGCUUUAGGGCUAGCCUCGUUUUAGUCUGGUGGAGGUAGAGCACUGAAUUCCCAAGGGGGCGUCAAAGCUUACUAAGGGAUAUCAAACUCCGAAUGCCAUACAGAUGAUGAACGGGAGUCAGACUAUACGAGAUAAGUUGGAUAGUCAAAAGGGAAAGAGCCCAGACCUGCAGCUAAGGUCCCAAAGUGCAUGUUAAGUGGAAAAGGAUGUGGGAUCUCUAAGACAACUAGGAUGUUGGCUCAGAAGCAGCCAUUCAUUCAAAGAGUGCGUAACAGCUCACUAGUCGAGAGGUCCUGCGCCGAAAAUGUCCGGGGCUAAAACAUGCCACCGAAGCUCAGGAAUGACAUAGUCAUUGGUAGAGGAGCAUUCUUAACGCGAAGAAGCAGUACCGUAAGGAGCUGUGGAGUGCUAAGAAGAGAGAAUGCCGGAAUGAGUAGCGAGAACAAGGUGAGAAUCCUUGUGGCCGAAUAUCCAAGGUCUCCAGGGUAAAGCUGAUCUGCCCUGGGAAAGUCGGGACCUAAGGUCAGGCUGAAAAGCGUAGCCGAUGGACAACAGGUUGAUAUUCCUGUACCGCAUGGUAACAGAACUGUGGGGACACGGGAGGGAAACAUGGGCCGGAAAUGGAAAGUCCGGUACAAGCGAGGUAGUCGCACAGCAGGCAAAUCCGCUGUGCAUAAGACGAAGCCGUGAUGUGGAGCGAAAUGAAGUAGCGAAGCAUGUGCCCCCUCCUGUCGAGAAAAGCCGCUAUUGUUUGCCAUGCGCCCGUACCGUAAACCGACACAGGUGGAUGAGGAGAGAAUCCUAAGGCCGGCGGGAGAAGCAUUGUCAAGGAACUCGGCAAAAUGACCCCGUAACUUCGGGAGAAGGGGUGCCCACGCAAGUGGGCCGCAGAGAAUAGGCUCAAGCAACUGUUUAGCAAAAACACAGGUCUAUGCGAAACCGUAAGGUGAUGUAUAUGGGCUGACGCCUGCCCGGUGCUGGAAGGUUAAGAGGAGAGGUUAGCGCAAGCGAAGCUUUGAAUCCAAGCCCCAGUAAACGGCGGCCGUAACUAUAACGGUCCUAAGGUAGCGAAAUUCCUUGUCGGGUAAGUUCCGACCCGCACGAAAGGCGUAAUGAUUUGAGCGCUGUCUCGACAAUGCACCCGGUGAAAUUGAAGUACCAGUGAAGAUGCUGGUUACCCGCGCCAGGACGGAAAGACCCCAUGGAGCUUUACUCCAGUUUGGUACUGGAGCCUGGUAUUGCAUGUACAGGAUAGGUGGGAGCUUAAGAACCUGGGACGCCAGUCUCAGGGGAGGCGCUGUUGGGAUACCACCCUUGCAAUAUCGGGUUUCUAACCAGCCGCCGUGAUCCGGCGGUGGGACAAUGCCAGGCGGGGAGUUUGACUGGGGCGGUCGCCUCCGAAAGGGUAUCGGAGGCGCUCAAAGUUUCCCUCAUAAUGGUCGGAAACCAUUAGAAGAGUGCAAAGGCAGAAGGGAGGCUGACUGCGACACCGACGGGUGGAGCAGGUACGAAAGUAGGACUUAGUGAUCCGGUGGCAUAAAGUGGGAUUGCCAUCGCUCAACGGAUAAAAGCUACCCUGGGGAUAACAGGCUUAUCACUCCCAAGAGUUCACAUCGACGGAGUGGUUUGGCACCUCGAUGUCGGCUCAUCG
rnacentral:rRNA from 1 species